GUCGAACGAUGAAGUCUAGCUUGCUAGACGGAUUAGUGGCGAACGGGUGAGUAAUGCUUAGGAAUCUGCCUAUUAGUGGGGGAUAACGUAGGGAAACUUACGCUAAUACCGCAUACGUCUUACGAGAGAAAGGGGGCUUUUAGCUCUCGCUAAUAGAUGAGCCUAAGUCGGAUUAGCUAGUUGGUGGGGUAAAGGCCUACCAAGGCGACGAUCUGUAGCUGGUCUGAGAGGAUGAUCAGCCACACUGGGACUGAGACACGGCCCAGACUCCUACGGGAGGCAGCAGUGGGGAAUAUUGGACAAUGGGCGAAAGCCUGAUCCAGCCAUGCCGCGUGUGUGAAGAAGGCCUUUUGGUUGUAAAGCACUUUAAGUGGGGAGGAAAAGCUUAUGGUUAAUACCCAUAAGCCCUGACGUUACCCACAGAAUAAGCACCGGCUAACUCUGUGCCAGCAGCCGCGGUAAUACAGAGGGUGCAAGCGUUAAUCGGAAUUACUGGGCGUAAAGCGCGCGUAGGUGGUUAUUUAAGUCAGAUGUGAAAGCCCCGGGCUUAA
rnacentral:rRNA from 1 species